GCCCGCCACGCGCCCCAAACGGCGCCGAGGACGGCUGCGCGACCCCUGACCUCUUCGUGGAGAUUCCCUCCUGAGGCCGGACCCCCGGUGCUGCCUGGGACCCCCGAGAGAAUGAGGAGAGGUCUCCCGAGUCUUCUCCUCUCCCCAAAGACCCCCACGUCGCCCAUGUAUCCUAAUCAGGAAUUCAUUUAUAUGCCUCUGUCUGUCUGA